GUUGAUAAGGUUAAGUGAAUAAGGGCGCACGGUGGAUGCCUUGGCACUAGGAGCCGAUGAAGGACGGGACUAACACCGAUAUGCUUUGGGGAGCUGUAAGUAAGCUAUGAUCCAGAGAUUUCCGAAUGGGGGAACCCAAUAUCUUUUAUAGGAUAUUACUUUUCAGUGAAUACAUAGCUGAUUAGAGGUAGACGCAGAGAACUGAAACAUCUUAGUACCUGCAGGAAGAGAAAGAAAAUUCGAUUCCCUGAGUAGCGGCGAGCGAAACGGGAAGAGCCCAAACCAACAAGCUUGCUUGUUGGGGUUGUAGGACUCCAAUAUGGUAGUCUGUUAGUAUAGUUGAAGGAUUUGGAAAAUUCCGCUAAAGAGGGUGAAAGCCCCGUAGACGAAAUGCUGACAACACCUAGGAGGAUCCUGAGUACGGCGGAACACGAGAAAUUCCGUCGGAAUCCGCGGGGACCAUCCCGCAAGGCUAAAUACUCCCUAGUGACCGAUAGUGAACCAGUACCGUGAGGGAAAGGUGAAAAGCACCCCGGAAGGGGAGUGAAAUAGAUCCUGAAACCGUGUGCCUACAACAAGUCAAAGCUCGUUAAUGAGUGAUGGCGUGCCUUUUGUAGAAUGAACCGGCGAGUUACGAUUGCAUGCGAGGUUAAGUCGAAGAGACGGAGCCGCAGCGAAAGCGAGUCUGAAUAGGGCGAAUGAGUAUGUAGUCGUAGACCCGAAACCAUGUGAUCUACCCAUGUCCAGGUUGAAGGUGCGGUAAAACGCACUGGAGGACCGAACCCACGUACGUUGAAAAGUGCGGGGAUGAGGUGUGGGUAGCGGAGAAAUUCCAAACGAACUUGGAGAUAGCUGGUUCUCUCCGAAAUAGCUUUAGGGCUAGCCUCGGAAUUGAGAAUGAUGGAGGUAGAGCACUGUUUGGACUAGGGGCCCAUCUCGGGUUACCGAAUUCAGAUAAACUCCGAAUGCCAUUCAUUUAUAUCCGGGAGUCAGACUGCGAGUGAUAAGAUCCGUAGUCGAAAGGGAAACAGCCCAGACCACCAGCUAAGGUCCCAAAAUAUAUGUUAAGUGGAAAAGGAUGUGGGGUUGCACAGACAACUAGGAUGUUGGCUUAGAAGCAGCCACCAUUUAAAGAGUGCGUAAUAGCUCACUAGUCGAGUGACCCUGCGCCGAAAAUGUACCGGGGCUAAACAUAUUACCGAAGCUGUGGACUACACCAUUAGGUGUAGUGGUAGGAGAGCGUUCUAAGGGCGUUGAAGGUCGAUCGUGAGGACGGCUGGAGCGCUUAGAAGUGAGAAUGCCGGUAUGAGUAGCGAAAGACAGGUGAGAAUCCUGUCCACCGUAUGACUAAGGUUUCCUGGGGAAGGCUCGUCCGCCCAGGGUUAGUCGGGACCUAAGCCGAGGCCGAUAGGCGUAGGCGAUGGACAACAGGUUGAUAUUCCU
rnacentral:rRNA from 1 species